GUGGGCUGACAGUACAGGGUCCAACAGAGGCAAAGAGCUGGAAAUGCAGGGAAAGAAAGGGGAACAUCCUCCUCUUCCAGCGGAGGAAGCUGGGUGAAGAAAGGAGAAGCAUUGCGCUGGUGUGGGAAGCACGGGGCCGCUAAGGUUGAAGUGAGUGGAGAUGGGAGGCGGCGGGAGUCACUAGAGGCUAGGAAGAGAGGCUCACACUACAGAGGGCCUUGAGUGCCAGGCUAGGAAAUCCAUAGGGGAAGAAGCCAAGACUCAAGGAGUUAAGAACUUUUCCAAGGGUAGCUAUUAGCCAGGACUCAAACCUACAUACUUGAAUGAAUUUCUACAACCUGUUAUUGAAGACUAAGGAGGCUUCUCAGCCUGGGCUGGAUCCUGGACAGACAGGCCCAGGCAGGCUGUGCACUGUGACCUGGGGCCUUGCUGUGAACAAAGAGGACUUCAAGAGGAGAUGGCCUGGAGGAGUUCGCCUUUGUGGUCAUUUUGCUUCAGCGGACCAGUCAGCAAAUAAUGACUGCCCUUGGUCAUCCCUGGGAAGAUAAAGGAUUAUUAAAAGAGGGCCCGGCAGCUUGCAGAUUACACCUGCUACAUUUGGAGUGGAAAGAGGCUUCUCUGUCAGUGCCCCUUGCCCCCAUGGAAAGACACUAAUAGCAAUCUUCAACCAUAAUUGUUUGGUCCAUUUUGUUCUGGACCAAGUUUGCAUAAGUUUUAAGCCUGAAAGUCAAAGAAAAACGAAAUCUUACACGUCAACAUGGCCUUUCCAUCACUUGAAAAAGGCACCCUCUCUCUCUCUUUCUCUCUGCCUCGUAAACACAGCGGUCUUGCUCAGAGCAAUCUUGAGCUCUGAGCUGUGAAGAAUUGCUGUAGGUAGGAAGAAACGUUGGCUCUGGAAUUCAAUUAACUGUCAGCAUUGCUGUUCGAGUCAGGAUGACUCACUCCUCUUCAGCAAAUGGGCAUGGGGGCUGUGAGCCUCCAAGAUUAAUGGUGAUUGAUAAGCCGCUGGAGCUCCAGGACGAAGCCUCCCAGAAUCCUUCCCUCACCCACACACGUUUUUACAUGAAAAUAUAAUAGAUAGUGGGAGAGGAUGUGUGAGUACAGAGGAGAUGCUGUCAAGAAUUUGCCUGUAUCCUUUUCUUUUAUAUUGGUAAGUUUCACUGGAUUCUAAGCUACUGAAAAGCAGGGACUAUGUUUUAUAUUUCUUUUCUCUCAGUUCAUGUCCAAAUUAAUGCAUCAGGUGAAAAGAAAGGAUGCUGUCUGAUACCCCAUGAGGUAGGUAUGAGGCCCAUUCUAUAAAUGAGGGGAAGCAACGUGCUAAUAAGAGAAAAAGCUAGGACUCGGUCCCAGAAAGUCUGCCAAGGGUGCCAGCUCCAACCGCUGCAGGUGCCGCCUCUUCACGAGCACGUUACGCCAUUUCUCUCUUUAACACGGAAAGCAAAAUGUGGGCCUGACUGUGGUGAGGGCAUGCUUUUCCAUUCUAAAUGGCAGCUAGCAUGCAUUACAUGUACAAUAUACAACAGGAAUACAAUACGCGGGAGAGAAAACCUUCCCUCCCCUUUUCCUCAGGCACCUGGCUGGUUCAGGCUCCAGUGGCUUGGUUUUGUCGCUGGUGUUGUUAGUUUCCCCCAGCAUCCCCAUUCAUUUUCCAGAAUCCUCUGUCCCUCAUUGUAGUUUUGUAUUUGCAGAUACAAUCUAGGAAACAAUUCAGAUGGGAAAAGAAAUCUUUUCAUGAGAAAGGAUAGUAAAAUUAACAGAAAGCUGGUUAAACUUACAAUUUCCUCAAGUAUUGAGAAUAAACAUGAAUCCAUGAGAAUAAAAACUCAGUAUGGAUUUGUCCACAACGCUUAGGAGGAACAUGUUAGAAGUGCCACAUGCAGGCCAGGCGUGGUGGCUCACGCCUGUAAUCCCAGCAUUUUGGGAGGCCGAGGCAGGAGGAUCAAGAGGUCAGGAGAUCAAGAUCAUCCUGGCUAACACGGUGAAACCCUGUCUCUACUAAAAAAAAUACAAAAAAUUAGCCGGGUGUGGUGGCAUAAGCCUGUAGUCCCAGCUACUCGGGAGGCUGAGGCAGGAGAAUCGCUUGAACCCGGGAGGUGGAGCUUUCAGUGAGCCGAGACGCACCACUGCACUCCAGCCUGGGUGACAGAGCGAGACUCUGUCUCAAAAAAAAAAAAAAAGAAAAAGAAAAAGAAAGAAAAAGAAAUGCCACAUGCAUGUAAGAGUCCAGGCAGGGUGGUCAAACUGUCAGAUGCGCAACAUUCGAGGGGCAAAAAGGAUGAAAUAAGAUGCUCUCUAAACGCAUGAGCAAGACCAGCUGUCAAAGCACUGGCGCCUUUAUUCACACAUUUUGUAAACCUCAGGUAGACAGGAGACAGCAGUAAGUACGUGACCUCAGCGCGUGAUCCUCAUUCAAACUGGAAUUCGAGUAUCACUGGUCUCAGCUGCAGACAUUUCAGAGUGGGUCCAUUUGCUCUUAGGAACUUCCAGGGCACCCCAGCACCACUUGUUUUUGCCUUUGUCUUUGCUUUCCUUCCCCACAUCCCUACAAAACCAAACAGACUUGCUCUCCCAGCUUCACAAAGAGAAACGGAUUCCAAGAGGAAAUCACUUCACAGCAAGUGAGCCCUGGGAAGAAUUAAAGACUGAGGAGCCCUUGUAAUGAGAUUAAGGGAAAAAUGCUUUUGUGCAUCCAACUCAGACCCGUCCUCAGUAUGCAGGACGCGAGUGGUGCCAAAACAAACAUGGGUAUUGUUUUGGGAAGGAAAAGGUUAACAAGCUAUGAAAACAAAAUUAGAGAUAUUUUCAAAGCAUGACCCUCAGCAGAAUGAGUAGAAUGCAGUCUACCCAGGCAGCAGCAUUCCCUCCUCACUUGACAUUUAUCCUGCA
rnacentral:lncRNA from 10 species